AAUCCAUAGGUUAAUGAGGCGAACCGGGGGAACUGAAACAUCUAAGUACCCCGAGGAAAAGAAAUCAACCGAGAUUCCCCCAGUAGCGGCGAGCGAACGGGGAGGAGCCCAGAGCCUGAAUCAGCAUGUGUGUUAGUGGAAGCGUCUGGAAAGGCGCGCGAUACAGGGUGACAGCCCCGUACACAAAAGCGCAUGUGCUGUGAGCUCGAUGAGUAGGGCGGGACACGUGGUAUCCUGUCUGAAUAUGGGGGGACCAUCCUCCAAGGCUAAAUACUCCUGACUGACCGAUAGUGAACCAGUACCGUGAGGGAAAGGCGAAAAGAACCCCGGCGAGGGGAGUGAAAAAGAACCUGAAACCGUGUACGUACAAGCAGUGGGAGCACAGGUUUACCUGUGUGACUGCGUACCUUUUGUAUAAUGGGUCAGCGACUUAUAUUCUGUAGCAAGGUUAACCGUAUAGGGGAGCCG
rnacentral:rRNA from 4 species